CCUACGGGAGGCAGCAGUAAGGAAUAUUGGUCAAUGGAGGCAACUCUGAACCAGCCAUGCCGCGUGCAGGAUGACGGCCCUAUGGGUUGUAAACUGCUUUUAUACAAGAGAAAACCCUGGUACGUGUACCAGGUUGAUAGUAUUGUAAGAAUAAGCAUCGGCUAACUUCGUGCCAGCAGCCGCGGUAAGACGAAGGAUGCAAGCGUUAUCCGGAUUCAUUGGGUUUAAAGGGUGCGUAGGCGGACUGAUAAGUCAGUGGUGAAAUCUCUUUGCUUAACAAAGAAACUGCCAUUGAUACUGUCGGUCUAGAGUAUAGAUGACGUUGGCGGAAUAUGACAUGUAGUGGUGAAAUACUUAGAUAUGUCAUAGAACACCGAUUGCGAAGGCAGCUAACGAAACUAUAACUGACGCUGAGGCACGAAAGUGCGGGGAUCAAACAGGAUUAGAUACCCUGGUAGUCCGCACCGUAAACGAUGAUUACUCGUUGUUGGCGAUAUGACAGUCAGCGACCAAGCGAAAGCGAUAAGAAUCCACCUGGGGAGUACGCCGGCAACGGUGAAACUUAAAGGAAAUUGACGGCGNGAGAGNGCGAGGACGACGACGAGGGAGAGG
rnacentral:rRNA from 1 species